UACCACACCAUGGUGUGCCCAGCCUGCAAACACGUCUGGUUCCACCGGGACUGCAUCCAGCAACAGGCCUUGAGUGCUGGCACUGCGUACUUCGAGUGCCCCGGCUGCCGAGACUACAUUCUCUUCUGUGAAGAGAUGUCCAACAUGGGGAUCCACAUCCCAUUAAGGUCCUUCUGCUGGGAGCACCGCCCUCAACAGGCCACUCAGGAAGCUCCAG
rnacentral:lncRNA from 1 species